ACUUUUGACUGGUACUGUACACAUCCAAACCAUCACUGAUUGUAGAAACUUCACACUGUGUCAAGCAGUUUGGACUGUGUGUCUCUCCACUCUUCCUCCAGACUCUGAUCCCUUGAUUUACAAAUGAAAUGUAAAAUUUACUGAAGAUCAGUGAUGGUUUGGAGAGACAUGUCAUCUGCUGGUGUUGAUCCACUGUGUUUUAUUAUCAAGUCUAAAGUCAGUGCAGUUUAGUUUUCCCACAAAAUCUUACAGCACUUCAUGCUUCUUCUCUUUGCUACUGACAACUUUUAUGGAGAUGCGGAUUUCAUUUUCCAGCAGGACUCUCUUAUCCAGAGCAACUUACAAGGUUAUUUCUAUUACAGAGUUGGGCCAAUGUAGUUUUAGGAGUCUUGCCCAAGGACACAGUAUAGUCACCCAGAGUGGGAAUUGAACCCCAGUCUUCCACAUGAUGUGGUUAUAAGCAGGCAGUGGUGUUAUCCACUGCGCCACACCAACCACCAUGUCAGCCUUGUAGAAGAUGCUGCUGCCGAUCUGCACCACCUCCAGGUUCUGCUCCUGCUCAUUCCGAGCACACUUGAUGUAGGUCAUCCAGCUGCGCUGGUCUUCUUGGCUGGCGUCGACGAAGCAGCGAACCGUUCCAUCCUCAUUAAACACCUGAGAGCAUCAGGAGAAACAUCACGGUCGACGUGUUCAGGAGAGACGAGGCGGCCGGUGAACGGACCCAUCUCAGUCCCGGCUUUAAUCCAGGCUUUAGAGAAGAUCCCCAGACC